rnacentral:lncRNA from 1 species
CUUGGAACCUCACUCAUCUCAGAACUCCUCAGUUGAGUUCUGGCUUCUGCACUGUUUCCAAUAUUAAGAAUUGGGUGCAGUGGGCAGUCUGCCAAUUAAAGAAUAACACAGAAUUCUCAGAAUUUGGAAAGGAAGCUUUAUUGUUUCCAAGGACUCUGCUGGAGGAGUCAUACAAACUUCGCCAUUUCUUCCUCUGAUGUCCAUGUGCCAUGAUUGUCUGAGGAAGGGAGAAAAAGUCUUUGAAGUGGCUACCAGGAUCCUUUGCAGAUCUCUGGGAUGUCAUUCACUCAUGCUUCUAUGCUGGGUGACUCCUACCAUCAUCACAUUCUUCCAAUUCUCCCAGUAGGGUAUGCAGUAGUCAUGUAGGCAGAGCCUUCUGAGCUACAGCAAAC